rnacentral:rRNA from 1 species
CGUCUAGGCGGAUGGGCAAGCGCGAUGUGAAAGCUCCUGGCUCAACUGGGAGAGUGCGUAGCGAACUGCCCGACUAGAGGCCAGGCGAUGGGGGUGGAAUUCCCGGUGGAGUGGUGAAAUGCGUAGAGAUCGGGAGGAACACCAGUGGCGCAAGCGGCCCCCAAGCCUGAGCCUGACGCUGAAGCGCGACAGCGUGGGGAGCAAACG